GACGAACGCUGGCGGCGUGCCUAACACAUGCAAGUCGAACGGAAAGGCCCUGCUUUUGUUUGUUUCUCGAGUGGCGCACGGGUGUGUAACACGUGAGUAUCCUGCCCUUGUCUUUCUGAUAUCUUCAGGAAACUGCGGCUAAUACCGGAUAUGAGCUCCUGCUGCAUGUUGUUCGUUGGAAAGUUUCGGCGGUUGUGGAUCGACUCGCGGCUUAUCAGCUUGUUGGUGGGGUAGUUGCUUACCAAGCGUUUGACGGCUAGCCUGCCUGAGAGGCGUACCAGGCACAUGAGGACUGAGAGAGGGAGCAGACGCCAAUGGGAGGCAGCAGGGGGGAAUAUUGCACAGUGGGCGGAAGCGUGAUGCAGAGACGCCGCGAGCGGGAAGAAGGCUUUCGGGUGAUAAACCGAUGUGGAAUGUGACGAAGCGUGAGUGACGGUAAUGGGUAAAGAAGCACCGGCUAACUACGUG
rnacentral:rRNA from 1 species